rnacentral:rRNA from 1 species
UACGAAGGGGGCUAGCGUUGCUCGGAAUCACUGGGCGUAAAGGGUGCGUAGGCGGGUCUUUAAGUCGGUGGUGAAAUCCUGGAGCUCAACUCCAGAACUGCCUUCGAUACUGGGAGUCUCGAGUCCGGGAGAGGUGAGUGGAACUGCGAGUGUAGAGGUGAAAUUCGUAGAUAUUCGCAAGAACACCAGUGGCGAAGGCGGCUCACUGGCCCGGUACUGACGCUGAGGUGCGAAAGCGUGGGGAGCAAACAGG